UAGAUGCAUGUAUGUUGUAUAUGAAAUAAUGGCGCAUUUAUGCAUAAAAAGAACAGGUUUGUAAGCAGACACGUUUAACUUGUAAUGGAGCACAUCUAAAUACAGCAAUUAGCAGGUACAAUCCUCACACAUCCAGGCCAAACAGGCCGGCCAAAGUCUCCUGUCGCUCUGAAAAGCUGAUUCCGGCUCUCGACUGACAACCGCUUUAACGACGUGACAGUAAACACUGGCGCUAAAAAACAACAACAACAUAAUUGAUCGGACCUCAUAUCUGCACUGCACAUGGAUCAGUCGCACGCAGCAUAUCAUGUGGGUGUGGACGAGCGGCAUCACCAAAAUGUCAUCAUAGAGAAAUGAACGCCACCGUAAAUGAGUUAAAUGCACGAACGGGCCCGGAGUCACGCCGAUGCUGAUGGCAGCAAACUGUCGCCCUCUCGGGAGGACAGGGCGACAGCUUUAGGGCAUGUACCCGAAUUUUUCUCCCGUUUUCACAGCAGCACUGGCUCAUCGCUGGAGCCGGACUCCCCGACGUUGCAUAAAAUGUGUUGCACACGGGAGCAGCGGCGUCAAUGAAGCGGAACCGCUCCAGCCUUCACUGACGUCACGCAGCCCCUCUCUGCAGCAGAGAGCAGCAGGCCUGCAGAGGAGGACCAGGGAGGAGAGAGGGAGAGAGAGAGAGAGGAGGAGGAGGAGGGAGGAGAGAGAGAGUGAGAGACAAUGCUUGAACAGAUGCAAAAACAUGAAUCAUAAAAAAAAAAAAAAAAAAAAACACACUCAUCCCUCCCAUCUUCUGAUGGGGGGGCAGACAGACAGACAGACAGACAGACAAGCAUGUCUCAUUCAUCGAGUCCAACAUUAAAAGCUGUUAGGACAAUUUGGUUCUGCCAGCUGCUGCUUUGCUUUGUGAAUUUCGUUACUAUUUAGCAUCCUGUCAAUCAUCCAACCAGUCAGUCAGUCUUUAUACAAAGAGUGGAAGAGUCAUGGAAUUCAUGGGGACCUGAGGCUGUUUUUGUUCCUGGAGGUCCUCAAAGUAAAGUAGUUUAAGGUGGGAACAUUUUUGCUGUGUUGUUUGAAUCGUUUAAAGUUUUGUUAUAAUGAACAGGGAUCGGACACUUUAACAAAAAGAUUAUAAAAGGAUUAUAAAACUUUUGCUGAACAGCGAGUGAUGGUGAUCUUACGAAGUGUACCAGUAGCACAAGUUCUUCAAGAAAGCAAACUAGUUAGAAUUAGUUACAAUCUAAAGGUUGCUACCAUAAAAUACCAAGUAAGGAGGUUGCAGCAAAAUUCUUGAGCGUAGUGGAUUGGGUGAGGGUACGUUUUUGCUUCUGAUGAAUUAAAAUUAAAUAUUUAGGUAUAUAAUCAAGCAUAAAUUCUCUGGGUGCAGCUUCUGCAGUCUGGGAAUUUGUUGCUUUUAUCUGUUUUAUACAAGCCAAGAUUACGCAAGUGGGCAACUUCCCCAGAGAACCAAAAGCCCCAAAUGCCUCAAUGUUCACUGGGUGUCAGACGCUUUUUGGUAAUAUAAUUACUUGCAGAUUUGUUUGAGACUUUUGGGCACCACUGAAGAACAACAUCAACUGAGUGCUGCAUUGUUAAGCGGCCAUUUGAAGAAGGGCGCUGUGUAAAACUCUAGUUCUGAGACCUGCAUUACUUUAUAUUCCAUUUAGUUUAUAUCAUAUGCUGCAUUUUCCUAAGUAUAAUAGCCAGGAAUGUAUUAGUAUUGCAAAAUAUAAGGGAGUCGCUAUAGUGUAAAGAGAAUAUAUUUGGGUCUUUGACUUUUUUGACAUUUACUGGACCAGAUUGAUAAAUGAAGAAAAUAAUGAUCAUUAGUAGUAGUUCACAGUGUUGUAGCCUUGUUGUUUUAGAUUUUUAGUAUGUCUACAAUCCUGGCUAUUGCCCUGAGGUUUCGUUAGUGGUGGUCGUUGAUGAGCUAGAAAUGACCAUGGAGUAGAUCAACUUAAAAUUUCAUAGGAUUGGGUAUUGGGUUGGAUCAUGGUAGAUUUUACAGGAGUCUAUUUUGGUUCUCCUGAUACAAGUUUUUAGAUUUUAUUGCAGAUUUAAUCCAUUUUACAGUCACCUUUCCUACUAUAAUUACUAGCUGUAGUCAUGACAACUGCAAAACACUUGUCAGAUAUGGUAUCAGCAGCACACUGUUUAUUUUUUUGUGGGUCCUUGGCAUCAUAAAGUUUGAGAACACUGCAGACCUUUCUAAGCUGGGUGUUAGUGUGGGGGUCAUAACUCUUGCAACAAAUCAUACGUUACGUUGUUAUGUGGUGACAGAAAAAGAGGAGAAAAUAGAAACAAGACCGCACUAGAAAUCUGCUUCCAGGGCUUCAUUCUCCAGCUGAUGUUUUGUUCCCAUGCUUCACAGCCCGGGGAUAUUUUCUGUAUCUGUGUGAUUAAAAAUAGUUGUGUAUUUACAGCAACUAGAAUUUGCCUUUGUCAUUUACUUUAUCACUUUAAAUUCCAUACCCAUGCUACUACAUGAUACAAAUGUAAUCCUUGAGUUUGACUGAAUGAUUCUCUUACAGACCUAGGUGUCGUUGUAUACCAUCCUCCUAGUGAACUUUAUAUAGGAUGUGUAAGUGUGCCUGCAAGGAAAACUGAGUUGCAAUUUAAAUCUGUGUGAACCAACCAGUAAUAUUUUUGUACAAUAAAACAACGUACUGCAACAAUGAUUUUAAAGGUUGUGAAAUGAUAAAUCUCAUGUAAUUUGA